CACUUGAGCGCAUGGCCUUCCUCCGGCGCCUGAUCUCAUAAAUGUCUGCCUUAUCAACUGUCGACGGUAGGAGCCCGGCCUACCGUGGUGAUAACGGGUAGCGGGGAAUAAGGGUUCUAUACCGGAGAGGGAGCAUGAGAAACGGCUACCACAUCCAAGGAAGGCAGCAGGCACGCUAAUUACCCACUCCCGGCACGGGGAGGUAGUGACGAUCAAUAACGAUGCGGGACUCUGACGAGGCUCCGUAAUCGGAAUGGGCGUAGUUUAAAUCCUUCGACGAGGAUCAAGUGGAGGGCAAGUCUGGUGCCAGCAUCCGCGGUAAUUCCAGCUCCACUAGCGUAUAUUAAAGUUGCUGCAGUUAAAAAGCUCGUAGUCGGAUCUCGGGAUCGUGUCAGCGUUCUCGUGGGCAUCUCUGCGGUUCUGCCGUUGGGGGUGUUCGCGGGUCGUCGGCCCUGCCGGCGAGGUCACCGCCUGUUGGCGGGGCUCCACCUUGCUCGUGCAGGCCGGCGUUGCAUUUGGGCGGUUGUCCUUAAUUGGAUGCCCUGCUCUCGAUCGUGACUUCUCUUACGUUGAAGUAAUAGAGUGCAGCGUCGACGCUCUUCGUCCUUCGCACGAGUCGCAUGGACUGAAUGGAAGAGGACGGCUUUCGCUUCUGUGGUCUCACGGAGGCAGGUAAUGAUCAAGAGGGACGGAUGGGGACAGAGGUAUGGCUCGGCGAGAGGUGAAUUCUGGACCCUAGCCAGACCCUCGAAAGCGAAAGCAUCGUUCAAAGAGUUUUCCAUGAUUCAAGAACGAAAGUCGCGGGAUCGAACGGGAUUAGAUACCCCGGUAGUCGCGACCGUAAACGACGCCAACGGGGAAUUUGGCGGCGUUACUUCUAUGACCCGUCAAGCGCCCGACCCGGGAAACCGAGAGUCUUUGGGUUCCGGGGGGAGUAUGGUUGCAAAGCUGAAACUUAAAGGAAUUGACGGAAGGGCACCACCAGGAGUGGAGCNUGCGGCUUAAUUUGACUCAACACGGGGAACCUCACCCGGCCCGGACACCGCGAGGAUUGACAGACUGAGAGCUCUUUCUCGAUUCGGUGGGUGGUGGUGCAUGGCCGUUCUUAGUUGGUGGAGCGAUCUGUCUGGUUAAUUCCGAUAACGAACGAGACCCCAACCUGCUAACUAGCCCUCGGGUCCUGCUUUUGUUGGGCCCGAUGGAAUGAUUCGCUUCUUAGAGGGACUCGCGGCGCCUAGCCGCACGAAGGGGGGCGAUAACAGGUCUGUGAUGCCCUUAGAUGUUCGGGGCUGCACGCGCGCUACACUGAAGGCAUCAGCGUGCGCUUUGUCCGUUCCCUGCCUGAAAAGGCCGGGUAACCCGCUGAACCGCCUUCGUGCCUGGGAUAGGGAUUUGCAAUUAUCUCCCUUGAACGAGGAAUUCCCAGUAGGCGCGAGUCAUCAGCUCGCGUCGAUUACGUCCCUGCCCUUUGUACACACCGCCCGUCGCUACUACCGAU
rnacentral:rRNA from 1 species